CAUAGUUCCACUGAUCAGGAGGUCUAGAAGGAGUCAUACUACCGUUAAUCAGGAGGUCAAGAAGGAGUCAUAGUACCACUAAUCAGGAGGUCUAGAAGGAGUCAUAGUACCACUAAUCAGGAGGUCUAGAAGGAGUCAUAGUCCCGUUAAUCAGGAGGUGUAGAAGGAGUCAUAGUACCACUAAUCAGGAGGUCUAGAAGGAGUCAUAGUUCAACUAAUCAGGAGGUUCAGAAGGAGGUCAUAGUACCACUAAUCAGGAGGUCUAGAAGGAGUCAUAGUACCACCAAUCAGGAGGUCUAGAAGGAGUCAUAGUUCCACUGAUCAGGAGGUCUAGAAGGAGUCAUAGUCCCGUUAAUCAGGAGGUGUAGAAGGAGUCAUAGUACCACUAAUCAGGAGGUCUAGAAGGAGUCAUAGUUCAACUAAUCAGGAGGUCUAGAAGGAGUCUGUGACAGGUUCGCUAUCCGUGGGUCCACUCAAUACGCACACGCCCAGGGUUGUCGGGGAAAUAAUGUUUAUUACUUCACGAUUCAAUGUAUACCACAGUCCGGUACGCAGCCUCCGCUGUCACUCAGUCCACGCAGCCUCCGCUGUCUCACGGAUUACGCAGUCUCCGCUGUCUCUCGGCUGCUCCUUUCAUUCCUCCUCUUCUUCUCUGUCCGCCCGGCUUUUAUCCUCCGCUCCGGCUGCUACUGCAGGGAUAAUUAGGUCAGCCAAUUACCAUCACCUGUGCCAAUUACCUUGACGCUGCUUCCAUGCUCCCCUCCACACCUCUCUCCCCUGCAGCUGAGCUCUCCCACGCCCGUCGCCACAGAGUCAUAUUCCCGUUAAUCAGGAGGUGUAGAAGGAGUCAUAGUACCACUAAU